GGGGCGGGUCUCACUGCGCCUGCGCGGCAGGACGCGGCCGAUUGGCUGGGCCGUGAGGCCGGGCGGUCCCGGCAGUGCGGGAGCGGCGGGGCGGUGGCGGUGGCUGGCUCCGUGUGGUUUCUCGGCUGACCGCUUCCUGGGUCGUCGCCUUUUUCCCGUUCUCGGCUAGGUGGACCGUGUCACCCCCUCCGGUGUUCAUUGCUAAACCACUUCGCAGAGCUUUUCCUCUGGGUGACUUCCUCAGCUGGUCUCCACUCUCCCUGGCGCCUACAUAAGGGAAUACUCACUCACCCGGUGCGAAGACCGAGUUCCCAGAAGUGCUGAGACUAGGUUCAGGAGCUUGUCUGUGUGACCUUAGGACAGUGGCUCUCAGUGUUCUGUGUGAAACGGAAUGCUAAUGUGCAUUGCUGCUUUUUGAUAGAUGCUAAUGAAAAGUAUAUGAAAACA